rnacentral:rRNA from 1 species
CCUACGGGGUGCAGCAGUAGGGAAUCUUCCACAAUGGGCGAAAGCCUGAUGGAGCAACGCCGCGUGGGUGAAGAAGGUCUUCGGAUCGUAAAACCCUGUUGUUAGAGAAGAAAGUGCGUGAGAGUAACUGUUCACGUUUCGACGGUAUCUAACCAGAAAGCCACGGCUAACUACGUGCCAGCAGCCGCGGUAAUACGUAGGUGGCAAGCGUUAUCCGGAUUUAUUGGGCGUAAAGGGAACGCAGGCGGUCUUUUAAGUCUGAUGUGAAAGCCUUGGGCUUAACCGGAGUAGUGCAUUGGAAACUGGGAGACUGGAGUGCAGAAGAGGAGAGUGGAACUCCAUGUGUAGCGGUGAAAUGCGUAGAUAUAUGGAAGAACACCAGUGGCGAAAGCGGCUCUCUGGUCUGUAACUGACGCUGAGGUUCGAAAGCGUGGGUAGCAAACAGGAUUAGAUACCCCGGUAGUC